ACAUGCAAGUCGAACGAUGAUGCCCAGCUUGCUGGGUGGAUUAGUGGCGAACGGGUGAGUAACACGUGAGUAACCUGCCCCUGACUCUGGGAUAAGCGUUGGAAACGACGUCUAAUACUGGAUAUGACUGCCGGCCGCAUGGUCUGGUGGUGGAAAGAUUUUUUGGUUGGGGAUGGACUCGCGGCCUAUCAGCUUGUUGGUGAGGUAAUGGCUCACCAAGGCGACGACGGGUAGCCGGCCUGAGAGGGUGACCGGCCACACUGGGACUGAGACACGGCCCAGACUCCUACGGGAGGCAGCAGUGGGGAAUAUUGCACAAUGGGCGAAAGCCUGAUGCAGCAACGCCGCGUGAGGGAUGACGGCCUUCGGGUUGUAAACCUCUUUUAGUAGGGAAGAAGCGUAAGUGACGGUACCUGCAGAAAAAGCACCGGCUAACUACGUGCCAGCAGCCGCGGUAAUACGUAGGGUGCAAGCGUUGUCCGGAAUUAUUGGGCGUAAAGAGCUCGUAGGCGGUUUGUCGCGUCUGCUGUGAAAUCCCGAGGCUCAACCUCGGGCUUGCAGUGGGUACGGGCAGACUAGAGUGCGGUAGGGGAGAUUGGAAUUCCUGGUGUAGCGGUGGAAUGCGCAGAUAUCAGGAGGAACACCGAUGGCGAAGGCAGAUCUCUGGGCCGUAACUGACGCUGAGGAGCGAAAGCGUGGGGAGCGAACAGGAUUAGAUACCCUGGUAGUCCACGCCCGUAAACGUUGGGCGCUAGAUGUAGGGACCUUUCCACGGUUUCUGUGUCGUAGCUAACGCAUUAAGCGCCCCGCCUGGGGAGUACGGCCGCAAGGCUAAAACUCAAAGGAAUUGACGGGGGCCCGCACAAGCGGCGGAGCAUGCGGAUUAAUUCGAUGCAACGCGAAGAACCUUACCAAGGCUUGACAUACACCGGAAACGGCCAGAGAUGGUUGCCCCCUUGUGGUCGGUGUACAGGUGGUGCAUGGUUGUCGUCAGCUCGUGUCGUGAGAUGUUGGGUUAAGUCCCGCAACGAGCGCAACCCUCGUUCUAUGUUGCCAGCGCGUUAUGGCGGGGACUCAUAGGAGACUGCCGGGGUCAACUCGGAGGAAGGUGGGGAUGACGUCAAAUCAUCAUGCCCCUUAUGUCUUGGGCUUCACGCAUGCUACAAUGGCCGGUACAAAGGGCUGCGAUACCGUAAGGUGGAGCGAAUCCCAAAAAGCCGGUCUCAGUUCGGAUUGAGGUCUGCAACUCGACCUCAUGAAGUCGGAGUCGCUAGUAAUCGCAGAUCAGCAACGCUGCGGUGAAUACGUUCCCGGGCCUUGUACACACCGCCCGUCAAGUCAUGAAAGUCGGUAACACCCGAAGCCGGUGGCCUAACCCUUGUGGAAGGAGCCGUCGAAU
rnacentral:rRNA from 1 species